UGGGGAAUAUUGGACAAUGGGCGAAAGCCUGAUCCAGCCAUGCCGCGUGUGUGAAGAAGGUCUUCGGAUUGUAAAGCACUUUAAGCUGGGAGGAAGGGCAGUAAGCGAAUACCUUGCUGUUUUGACGUUACCGACAGAAUAAGCACCGGCUAACUCUGUGCCAGCAGCCGCGGUAAUACAGAGGGUGCAAGCGUUAAUCGGAAUUACUGGGCGUAAAGCGCGCGUAGGUGGUUCGUUAAGUUGAAUGUGAAAGCCCCGGGCUCAACCUGGGAACUGCAUCCAAAACUGGCGAGCUAGAGUAGGGCAGAGGGAGGUGGAAUUUCCUAUGUAGCGGUGAAAUGCGUAGAUAUAGGAAGGAACACCAGUGGCGAAGGCGACCACCUGGGCUCAUACUGACACUGAGGUGCGAAAGCGUGGGGAGCAAACAGG
rnacentral:rRNA from 1 species